rnacentral:lncRNA from 1 species
UCCCCUUUUUUCCUGUUUUUUUGUGUAUGAUGAGUCCCGGGCUCUGAUCCCUGCGGAUUUUCCUUAUGUGUGUCUUUUUUUCUACGUAUGUGUGGCUGCGGGGUGUGUUUUGUGUCUAGUUGAGAAUUCUGGACGUGGAGUUGCUUCAAUCAGGAGGUGCUGGUGGUUCUGGAGCUCGGUUUUCCCCUAGCGGCGAAGCUCUUCUCUUUGGGUUUUUUCUGUGUCUCGGUGAGGUGCUACGGCGGUUCUCUGGCAACGACUUGGUUGCGGUGUCUCUGGCGGCUGCUUGAGGUCGUGAAGCUGCUUCAAGCAGAGUUGCGGUGCGUGUUGGAGCAAGUUCCGACCUAGUAGAAGCAACGACUUGAGAGUGUUGCUGUUGCUGCCUUAGUCUCCUUGCUCACAUUAUUACACGACAAUAAACGGUCCUGGAUUUAGCACCUGGUUCUUCCUGAUUCUGAGAUUGGUGGUGUCCGCGCGGUGUCCUAGUGGUCGGGGCUAUUAUCGCUCGUCGGCGGCAUUGCGACGGAUUGGUUAAAUUCCUCCUUCAUUUUCUUUUUCCUUUAUCCAGCCUAGUUCCUACAGUGUGGGUUGUUGCGUCGUUGUGCGGGAGUCUUCUCUAGAUGGCGGCGGCGCUUGAGGUUGCGGUGUAGUCGUUUCCAAGUUCCGUUUUCUUUUGUUUUGGGUCAUCAUUGCAACUAAAUUCUUGACUCAAGGUUCUCGUGGUUCUAAGUUGAUCGAGGUAGUGGUCACCAUCGGUGGUGGCGCACCAAGACUUGAGUUCGUAGCAUGGAGCGAUAGUUCGACGGCGGUCUCGCGGUUCGUUGGGAUACUCGGCAAUGGUUGUCGAAUUCUCCCUUGCUCUAAUGUGCGGUUUCCGAGUUGAUCAGUUUCUUCUUCUCGUCAAUAGUGAGUGCUGCACUGUGGAGCUAGAGGGGGCUCAUUGUUUUUUCCUUCACUCCCUAGUUGUUGGGAUCAACUGUUGGUGUUCAGGUCGUGUUGACAUCAGAUUGUGUAGAGGUUCUACUAUAGAAGGGAACGGAGGCGGAGGACUUUGCCACAAUAGGAUAUGCAACUAGAAGUGCGGUGUGUUGGGCCGACCCUCACUGUUUUUCUUUUGCAACUAGGCGAUCAGGCAGAGGAGGCGAGUGCUGCUGGACUGCUUGAUAUCAAUCGAUGUGCUGCAACUGGUAGGCAGGCGCGAGCUCGCUGGUAUCCCUAAUCUUAAUAGUAAAGAUCAACGCUUUAACCUGGAGAUGUGACUAUGAAGGGGAACAAUUGAGCAAGCGUCUUGAUAUUUAGAGCUUCUACUGACACUAUCGGAGAAGCAACGUGAUCCAAAAUUUAGUGCUGUUGAAGGUGUUUAAAAUUUUAGUUCCGAUUCUGUCAAUGCUCAUUAGCUAAAGGAAGUUGCCCAUUGGAAUCCAUGAUUGUGUCAUUGUUAGACAGGCAGUGCAAUUUACAGUGUAGUAAGAGAAUUUAUGUAUGCAGCUUGGUUGUCGAUAAUACCGUUGGCCUUACUAAAGAACCUCAUAUGAACAACUAGCAUCUGUGACUCUCCUAGCACAUACAGUUAGAAAUUGAACCGAGAUUAGUGAAACGUAGAAGAGCAACAUUCGUAGGUUGUGUGCAGUGUGGGCUCAAACUCUAUCUUGCCCAAAAAAAUCCCUUCUCUUAACUCUUAAUUUAUUUUUUUGUUUGUUGAUUUUACUUUAUUUUAUUUUAUUAAAAUUCAUCUGUUCACAAGGUUCAUCCAA